rnacentral:rRNA from 1 species
GAAGAACGCAGCUAAUUGCGCGUCAUCAUGUGAACUGCAGGAUACAUGAACAUUGACAUUUCGAACGCACAUUGCGGUCCUCGGAUACUGUUCCCGGACCACCUCUGGCUGAGGGUCGU